UGUAUGAUAUAUUUUGCCCAUCAUUCAGCAGUCAGUAGUUUAAUAUUCACGUUUACGAUAAAAUGGAGCCAAGGAGUAGCGCGCUCGAAAGGAUGCGGGAAGAUCGAUGAGCUGCUCUCUCACCAAGCGCACUCAGGUGCGCAAGAGUACAGGUGUACAGUGUGCACGUGUGCACAUCGUUCCGUGCGCAAGAAGAAACGGACCCGAACGGAGGAGAGGACGAGGCGCAGAUCGAGAGAGAAGGCGAAGGAGAUACGAGGCACAGAUAAAUCGGCGCCUGCGAUCGGUGCAUCCGGCUCGCGGAGAGGAUUAGGAUUCUCGGCGCUGAUUUUGUGCAACUUGCCGCCGCGAUCGGCGGGCCACGAGGGGGCGGAGAAGGAGGCGAGACGACGGGGUGCGCAAUACGCGCGAAAACGCGACGGGUAAUUUAUACGUAUGAAAAGAUGUUGCAAAAGACACACGUCGGGCUCGUCGAGAUUAAAACGAAGAGAAUAGCUGCCGUCGCGAUAAUAAGCGCCGACAAUGGAUGCGCUUCCCGAAGCGGGAGAGUCCGCCGCGUCAGGGGCGUUAAGGUAAAAAUUGUUACAGCGCGAUAGACACGGAAUUUAGGUCGCGGUAAGGAGUAAACCGGAGAGGCGGGAGGCCGUAGGUAAAUAUUUCUUCACACCACAAUCUGGAAUCGGGCUAAUGUAGGUCGAGCGUUACUUUACUUCAAUCAUUAAUAUAUUUACCUUCAUAAGCGAGCGGAUGUAACGCGCAAUUUAUAUCCAGGCGAAAUCGUGAGGAAUAAGGCAUCGCCAAGGGUAUUUGUUAAGAUUAGAUAUUAGAUAGAUCCGGACAAUAUUAAGCAAUAACCGUCUCGCGGACAUAUGUGUGUGUGUGUGUGUGUAUGCAUGUACGUUAUUAUCAUAGUAUGUAUUAUUACAGUUUAUUACCGGAGAGAAAUAUUACUUGAUGGUGCAUUUAUCUCCACUUUGUUUGAUUAAUUUAAAGUCUCGAUUCUCGUAAAUCACCCUGGGAAUAUUCUGUAACGCAGAAAGGUUUAGUAGAAAAAACUUAUUAUUUAGAUUUACGCAAAUAUCCCGAAAUAUUGUUAAACGGUGCGCGCGCGCUGAUCUCUCUCUCCUCGUUUUCCACGCGAUAAUCGCUGAUUGACGAGGCCCGCGAGGUAGAGUUCCCUCAAUAUUAAUCGUCUUCGGGGCUUCGUCGCGACACCCAGGCGCGAUCCAUCGUCGACGAGGGAGGGGGAGAGGAGAGGCAGGUGCGGCCCCGCUUACCACGAUGGUACCAACGUGUCGCCCUCGGUCCUCUCGGCGAAAUCGUGAUCCAGCAUGCAACAACGCCGGCCAGAAGAAUUUCAGGGGGGGAGGGUCGGGUGAGACCGGUUCCUCCCGAAAAAUUGGCGCCGAGCUGACCACGUUUCGGGUCAAAGAACGGCCUUGCCUCUCGUCCGUCUCUCACUCCCGCGGCCUCCUCUCUACCUUUCCCGUCGUGACUGCUCCUCGAGCUUUUGGCGUCCUCGCGAUUCUCCCUCCUCACCUUGAUUCGCCAUCGGCACCACCGUCACGACGUCAGUGGCGUAAACAGUGAUCUUAUGUCAGCGGAAAAAAACAUAAUAAAACGACGAUGAUAAAGAUGUAAAUAAUAUUGCGUGUCUCACGAUCGUGGGAUACACUGCGAUAUGGUAUCACCUCGCGUAUCGAGCGUUUCUCAUACUCAAGUCGAAAAAUCGAUGCUUGUUUCUCUCAGAAUUAGGAAACUUUAUGGCGAAAUGUUCACGGUCUCGUUUCCUUAAAUGGUAAGAAUCAAAAAGAUCUUUACCAAUUGGUUUCUGCGGACUGUAUUUGAUGGGCCUUAUGCAAAUUCUAACCUGAAAUUCGACAUUAGCAUAGACCAAAUCGUAUUUCAAACGAGUGAUUAAAUACAUUGCCACUUAACGACCGCUAGUGGAUCGCAUCCUUGACGAAGUGCGGACGGACAAGAAGAGUAACUUUCGACAGACGUGGCCUUUUCUCGUGGCUUCGCGAGCAAAGUUGUUCACGUAAACAGAAAUUUGAAAUUGAGUUACGGCAGAUCAGUUACAUUAUCGAACAGAUAAUACUGUACACUCUGUCCUGCGCAUAGGGAAUCCAUAAGGCAAUAAUAAGGCCGAGCUCUCUGCAGAUCCAGUUCGAGAAAGCGCAACAGUUGUAAUCUCAGAUAAUUUUGCGCGAACAUACACGGCCGUAGAUAGCCGCUGACUUAUUACCGAUUUGUUCGCUUCAGAUGUGCGAUGACUUUAUCCAAUAUCAAUUACGCGUGCUUCGUCGUAACUCAUUUAAGUCUUACCGCAGCCUUAAGACAAGCAGUCACGUGCGAUUCGGACCGCAGAUGUUCCCGUCAAACUUUUUUAUCAAUAUUUAUACGAGAAAUUCACCUUACAAAACCUGCUCCUGUUCAUUAUAGUUACGCGCUAUGAAGAUCUCAAGUGCCGCACACGUGAAGAAAUACAAACGCAGGACGGAACAGGUAUUAUCUCCUCAGUGCUCAUAAAUAUUGCGCAACGAAGCGCAUGUGAAUAACGCAAUGACGUUAAUAACGCGAGGUCGAGGUUGAUUGGUCGUACGUUGAGGUUUUCACGAGGGAGAGAAUCGAGUUUUUCGUCGUUAAGCGAUAUAAAUAUCGGUAUGAGUAAUCCGCGGAGUAGGCGAGUAAUGCGCGCGUGGAAAAUCGCAUCGGCGCGCCGCUGAAUGGACGAUAAUAAUAAUAGCUCUACUUUCGUAGCGGAAUUGCAAAUUGCGCCCCGGUGUAAUGGUCCUUUUCGUUCGAAGGCGCGUGCGGCCCGGACGCCGCGAGCGCGCAGCGGAUCGUCGUUGCGCACUGUCGAUGCCGGCGUGCAUACGCGCCGCCGCUCGUUACGCAAUUACCGAGAGAGAAGGAGACCGCGAGAGAAGGGGGAUACGCGCGCGGAGGAAGGACUGGCGCGCCGCGACCGCCAAAAGUGAAAUCGGAUGGAAGAAGACCGAGCGGAGAUAGAGCGCUUCGAGAUGGCUAAGUCAAAAAAGGGAAGUGAAACCGAGUAUGCAGCUGCCCCUUGACGCGUAUCUCUCGUGUUGCUUAGGAAAUCAAGUGAAGUAUCGAUCUCGCGGCGCUGUAAAAACGUUAGUAGUGAUAGUUCUAUUGGUCUUAACACUUCUGCUUAUGUAAUUUGUAACGAAAGCUAGAAGCAGACUCGGUAUAUACUUGCGAACGCAUCUCGUGAAAUUAAUUAAGUUUAAUUAUUAGUUUAAACUAAGCACGUAUAUUAGAUUUCGAAAUAAUAUUUAAUAAGCAGAUUUAAUAAAUGUCACUUAAAUCCUGAUGACUUUAACACAAGUCCAGUAAAACGACUCUACGUCGUCGUUUAAUGUUGCAUUAUGGGAGAAUAAAAGGCGAGUGUGUACUGUGAUACGCAAAGAAAUACCACGGUAGCACGAACAGGAACGAGCUCGCGGGAAUAUUCGGGUUAUCGAUACCUAGAAUCAAAAAGAAUGCCUUUUCCGGUACCUUGUUAAAGGACCACCCGCGUGCACAAUCUCUGCCGUAGACUACACGAAAACUGCGCGAGCGAUCGCAACCCUGUUAACGUUAUGCUUGCGCAAACUGCGCCGCCGAUGACCAUUGUUCUCAAAGCAAGCCUAUCGUUGACUUCUCAUAAGAAUUGCGGGGCGUAGAGAAUUUUUUCGGUUUCGUCCAAUUUAGCGCUUAUCCAGUUUUACUGAUCUGAAAGCGAGCGAGUAUGAAAAGAGCUCUAAGCAAUUUAGCAGUGAUGAAAAUUACAGAUUAUCAUUACAGCAAAUCGACAUUUCCGGUUAUUUUCCAAGGUACAUUACCUAAUCAUAUUCUAAUACGGAAGCAUUUGGCAAUUUGCUUCCUUAAUGACUCUAUCUUAAUGCUUUAUCUAGCAAGAAUCAGUGUCAAUUAAAUUCUAAACAGAUAUGUAAAGAUUUAUAUGUCAUAAAAUAUUUCCCUGUAAAAUACCUAGUACAAAAAAUUCCAAAUAAAUUGCAUUUCACUAAGUUGCACUUUGAUACUUUAAAUUCUUAAAUACGGUGAAAAUUUAUAUGUGCCGUAAAAACAAAAGAGCCGCGUGUCAAGGCUACACAUAUCCUGAAUAUUAUUUUUUUAUUUUGUGGCAAACCGUUAAGAUUCGCAAUCCUGCGACUUUGACCUUUGAUCAGCAAGGCAGGUAUCUCUGCGGCAGUUACGUUUAAAAGUCCAAAUACCUUUCGUUUUAGUAGGGAAUUUUACAGAAGAUAAUUUAUUGCAAUUCCGAUGUAACAUUCCCAAUUAAAAUUAUGAUAAAUAAUGGUAAUACAAACAGAUAUAUAAUGUUGCAGCUAUAUCUAUCAUUCUUCGAUUCUUUUAAUAUCACAAGUUUUUUUCCUCAGUACAUAUUUCCCAAUAGAUAGUUAAAUAAAAAAAUUAAAACAAAAAUUUUUUGUAAUAAAAUUUUCUAUUUUAUAUAUCUAUAACGUGAUUAAAUAUUGACGAUUCUUUACACGUCUUAUCAAGAUACAGGCGUCAAUUAUUAUAAUCGAAUCGUCGAAACAAUUUCACGUACAUAUAUAAAAAACGUUAUUUAAAAAAAUAAAAAUUAACAUGAAAUUCUUAAAUGGAUUAAAUUCCUGAAUACCGUUAUGAGCAAACGGUAUUUUAUAUUUAUAUCGCUCUUACAAAUUACCUUCUAGGAUGUGCUUAAAAAAUUGUCAAUGCAUCUGAAAUACGACGAAAUGAAAUUUACAUUUUGCCGAAUACAUCGUAAAUAUCAUUCGGUAAUUCUAAUUAAUGGAUUCGGUAUCGAUUCUUGCGUCAAUUUACCACAAUUUAUAUUAUUUGGUUAUCACCGAUUUUAAUAAAAUACAGAAGCGUAGAACUCGCUCCUCAAAGGCGUUAAAUGCCACAGCGCUCAUAUACAACUGUUUUGUAAAUAUCUCCUUGACAUGCUUGCGCACAAAAAUGUGUGUACGCGGACGGGAUCGUUACGAGCGUUCGAUUACGUUUAAGUGCAUCAUUAUAUCCUGUUUUUAAGCGAUACUGCAAAAUAUCGCCGAUUGGUCGCGCGGCAGUUAAAACGCAUAACUAAUAAUCCUCGGUCACAUAGGAAACGACGACGUCUAUUACUGCGACGCAUAGUAAAAUACGUCGCGUAAUAUGCUCGGAAUGCACCUGUUAGGGGAUGAUUCGCUCGUAAAUUUUUACGAGGCGCGCGAAAGAAUUUUAAUGUGCGCGCAAUGACAUCCGCCCUUACGCAACUAUUAAUACGGCAAAUAAUCACGCGGCUCAUAUUCGCCUCCGCAGCGCUACUUAAAAGCAAUUUCAUGUCGCUGAUAAUUACUCUCCCUUAGGUGGACCAUUAUCCCCAGGUGUUGUAUUACACGCGUGGCUAUCCAUUUGUCUUCUGCGUUUACACCGCGGUCCCGCAGGCGGGAUGAAACUGGCGGAUUACAUGAAUUUUUCGCUAUCAAUGCAAUAUCAUAAAGUAUUAUCAUCAUCAAUUUCUUUCUUUUUACUUUCAUGCCUGUCGUAUAUCACCGAUAUGACGUGUAUACCGCUAAUUACUAGCAAACUGUCACUCUCGGUAACGCUCUCUCCUUGUCCCCCACGAUUAAGAACACGCUAUGGUAACCGGGGGGAUUAAUUGUCGGUUGCUGAAGUACACUCGGAUUGGGAAAUAAAACUUAUUUCACGUUAUUAUUACACGCCCGAUAAUUUUCUCUCCGACUGUCGUUAAUUUCAUAAAUUUAUUUUAAUUAAGACUGAUCACACACAGAUAACUUUAAUCUGCCUUAUUUUUCAUAAUCGGCGUAUCCCGCGCAAUCGAAGCGAAAAGAUAUCUUUUAUUGAUAUCACGAUAGAUACCGCGAUCGUCGAGCAAAUUAAUUUCAUCGGUUGCCGCAUCCGAGAACUCGGCCGACACUCGCGAGGAGCGAAAACGUCAGUGCGACUAAGCCGCUAGUUGAAAAUCGCUCGGAUCGCGAUUAUUGAUCUGGGUCGGCGCGAGGCACCUUUCACGCAUCGGUCGAACGUUACUCAACAUUAAUCGUUACAAUUUCUUUGUUCGUGCUCGGGAACGACGGGAAGAAAAUUACAGCCGCGUGUUUACGCAUCGUCAAGAUCAACGACGUCACCGUCAAACCACGCGCCUCGACAAUAAGACAAUUCGUAGCGUCGCUCGUUGCUCGUGAAAAACCUAGGCACGUCGAACGCGGCGGCGAAAUAAGAAAUUGCCGAGCAAACCAGAAACCCUUGGGAUCGUUGAGAAAGAGUGUCUUCCACACUCGUCAAGGGGGACUACACGUCGUUGAGAGGAGCGACGCUGUGGUGGACGAUCGUUGCAGAGACGGCUACGCCGAGUAUUGGGAAACGACGUGCGAGCAGCGAGGUUGAUCCGGGAUCGCUUCCACGACGAACGGCGAAUGGCGACGGCGGCGGCGCUCGCAGUAGGUGACACUACGUCGGUGUCAAGGACUCCGAAGGAUGAACAAGAAGUCUAUACCGAGAUUUAUUGGGUUAUUUGCGUAUAUGUUACAAGGCUGCGCGCGGCCAAGUGACACCCGUGGCAAAUCGCGCCGCGCGGUGGGUGCCCAAUCCGUGUUCCUUCUUCCGCGCGAAUGUAUCAAUCGGUGCCAUUGAUUGUAAUUAAUGACGGUUUAAUAACGAUUAGAUCGGCUCGGAACAGAUAAACGCUGUCUCGUCGCAUGCCUCAAGUGACAAUGCACAAUUUAUAUACGCGGGUAAUAAUUCUAAUGACGUUUUCUAAUGACCAGCGUUAACCUACUUAUAUAUUUCUUAUCUUCAGAAAAAUAUCUUUUCUCAAAGGGAAUUAAAUUUCAAUUUGUAGUUGUUUCCUUAGAUUAUGUAUCGCUGAUUAUCUUUUUCAUAGAUAAAGAUUUAUUAUGAAAGUGCGUCGGCAAAAUUGCACAUCACCGAGAUGCAAUUUUUCGAACGUCACAACUUAUUAAAGUUUCUCGUACUCUGAAACGGAAUAAUUAUUAAUAACAAGCCAAAUUUCAAGCUAGCAAUUUAUAUAAUAAUGAUGAUGCAAAAUAAUGCAGUUUACAGUUAUCGGAGUGCUGUUACAAUUACGAUCGUCAACAAUAAUCGGCUCUCACUUAAUUAAGUCUUGACUAACUUGGUCACAAGAAUCAUCAAGUGCGAUUCGUAACUGCAGUAAUGUAAUUGCAAGAUGGAUUAUCUUUUAUUUCGGCGAUUCUUUUAUCAGCUAUUACGAUCCUGUUGAAGGAUCCUUUAACCGCAAUCCAACAAAGAUUAGUGCUUAUAAGUCAUUAAGAAUAUUCCGUAAACUCAUUAUCGAUUUUCGAUUUCUUUGAGCUUCUGAUGAUAGAGCAUCUCUCACAUUUCGUUAAAUUUCAGAAUAUAUACGAGGCCAGCCACGCGCUAAUGAGGGACUAUUAUUUGGUUAAGGACAUCGUUACCGCAAGAAACGAGAAUACAAAUUCGCUACGUAGCGCGGGAAUCUUUCGUAACGCGACAAUUCUGCGCUGCUCGAAAUAUGAAGAGAAAUUGCGGAACGGCCGACGCGGACGCGGCACGCACGGCCGUUUUUCGGCACAAUUACGUUCGUCUGUCUUAAAGCGGGCUUUAUUAUAUUUUUCUCGCGAAUCGGGCAAUAAUAUUGCAAAAUUACCGGUUCUUGCGCACAACGGCGUCGAUCGUCAGCUGCACAUUCUCUAACUGCAUAGUAAUUGCUGCGAUGACCCCGGCGCGCAGGCAAUGCAACUUCUAUAUUUCAUAACUGACAAACGUAUCAGAUGAGGGAGAGACCGUGGGGCGAGAGCUAUAAAAUAAUUAAAAUCUCUGCAAAUCUUUCUCGUUUUAUGGAAGCAAUCAAAAACGUACCACGUUCUCAAACUACAAAAAUGUAUACGGACGUAAACUGACAUUUAAGGCUAAAUACGGCACGCGUACGUAUGCAAUUACGAUUAAAUGAGACUUUCAUAACAGUACACAACACAAAUAAAGUUUCUGAUUGAACUGACGCUUGUAUCGAAUAAAACGAUCACGCUUCUAUUAUUAUUAUUAUUCGGAACCGCUUCGUAAAGUGCUUUUCGUCCUAGAUCACCCUUGCGACCUUUAUUAAAUACGAUGUGCGAAAUGCACAUUCUAAUUCCGCGGCAAUUACCGCCUGGACCUCGUGGCCGCGCGUGGCCUUAUGGUUUCUGGCGAUUAAGCGAUGUAGGCCAAUCGCGCGGCAAGAUCGCACACACCGGUAAAACGAUAAUUGGUUAUAAAGUACCAUUUGUUUCAUUCCUCCCCUUACGAUCACGGAGGAGAAAUAUCGAAUCAAAUCUUGUUUUAUGUUCUUUUCUUGUUGUUUCGUGCUCCUUUAUUCAAUACCUUACGCGUGUUUAUCUUUGUGACAAAACUGUUGUCGAGAGCGUGUGGAGCACAAUAAUCUCCCGCGCAUUUUAAUUGCUGCAGACAAUUACCGCGAUGACCCUGAAGAAGCAGGAUGAUCUUGCGAAGAACUCUGUGAGAUAAUAUUCUUUUUAUUUGCAAUUGAGUUAUUACGAAAAUAAAAUUUUGCAAUAGGGUGUCUCAUGUUUAGCAUCGAGGUCAUGUGUUCUUCAAAGUUUUCAAAAUAUCAUAUUACAUUUUAUGUGUGUGUGUGUGUGUGU